UAGGGAAUCUUCGGCAAUGGGGGCAACCCUGACCGAGCAACGCCGCGUGAGUGAAGAAGGUUUUCGGAUCGUAAAGCUCUGUUGUAAGAGAAGAACGAGUGUGAGAGUGGAAAGUUCACACUGUGACGGCAACUUACCAGAAAGGGACGGCUAACUACGUGCCAGUAGCCGCGGUAAUACGUAGGUCCCGAGCGUUAUCCGGAUUUAUUGGGCGUAAAGCGAGCGCAGGCGGUUAGAUAAGUCUGAAGUUAAAGGCUGUGGCUUAACCAUAGUACGCUUUGGAAACUGUUUAACUUGAGUGCAGAAGGGGAGAGUGGAAUUCCAUGUGUAGCGGUGAAAUGCGUAGAUAUAUGGAGGAACACCGGUGGCGAAAGCGGCUCUCUGGUCUGUAACUGACGCUGAGGCUCGAAAGCGUGGGGAGCAAACAGGAUUAGAUACCCUGGUAGUCCACGCCGUAAACGAUGAGUGCUAGGUGUUGGGUCCUUUCCGGGACUCAGUGCCGCAGCUAACGCAUUAAGCACUCCGCCUGGGGAGUACGACCGCAAGGUUG
rnacentral:rRNA from 1 species